rnacentral:misc_RNA from 1 species
GAUGAAGAACGCAGCGAAAUGCGAUAAGUAAUGUGAAUUGCAGAAUUCAGUGAAUCAUCGAAUCUUUGAACGCACAUUGCGCCCGCCAGUAUUCUGGCGGGCAUGCCUGUUCGAGCGUCAUUUCAACCCUCAAGACCCCUUCGGGGGACUUGGUGUUGGGGACCGGCACAGGGGCCUGCCUGCUUGUCUUGCAGCGCCCUCGCCGCCCCCGAAAUGAAUUGGCGGCCUCGUCGCGGCCUCCCCCGCGUAGUAGCACAACCUCGCAACGGGAACGUGACGGCGGCCACUGCCGUAAAACAACCCCAAUUUUAUUAGAGUUGACCUCGAAUCAGGUAGGAAUACCCGCUGAACUUAAGCAUAUCAAUAAGCGGAGGA